AUCCAGGGAUGGGAAUAGAACCUACAGUGUUCCGCUUAUUAGGCAGAUUCCAUGUCCACUAAGCUACCCUGGA
rnacentral:tRNA from 1 species